UACAGAGGUCCCAAGCGUUGUUCGGAUUCAUUGGGCGUAAAGGGUGCGUAGGCGGCGCGGUAAGUCGGGUGUGAAAUCUCGGAGCUUAACUCCGAAACUGCAUUCGAUACUGCCGUGCUUGAGGACUGGAGAGGAGACUGGAAUUUACGGUGUAGCGGUGAAAUGCGUAGAUAUCUGGAGGAACACCGGUGGCGAAGGCGGCAUCCUGGACCAACACUGACACUGAGGAGCGAAAGCCAGGGGAGCAAACGGG
rnacentral:rRNA from 1 species